rnacentral:rRNA from 1 species
UGCGCACGUCACUGUGACAUAAAGAGAGACAUAAAGGGGAAAUGAAAGUGAACGUGUGCGUGCGCGCGCGCAUACCACUUGUGGUGCGCGCGCGUACGUACGGAGGGAGGAUGGGCCGGCCCAAGCAGGUCGGCUCCGCACUCCCGGGGCGUCUCGUGUUCAUUGCGAACUGAGGCGCACCUAGAGCGUACACGCUGGGACCCGAAAGAUGGUGAACUAUGCCUGGUCAGGACGAAGUCAGGGGAAACCCUGAUGGAGGUCCGUAGCGAUUCUGACGUGCAAAUCGAUCGUCGGAACUGGGUAUAGGGGCGAAAGACUAAUCGAACCAUCUAGUAGCUGGUUCCCUCCGAAGUUUCCCUCAGGAUAGCUGGCGCUCAAAUAUAUAUAUUGCGGUCGGUCUCUAUACGGGACGCGCAAAUUAAAGAGUUUCAUCCGGUAAAGCGAAUGAUUAGAGGCAUUGGGGUCGAAACGACCUCAACCUAUUCUCAAACUUUAAAUGGGUGAGAUCUCCGGCUUACUUGAUAUAUGUACCAUAUAUAUAUAUAUAUAUACACGUAUACAUGUGUGUACGCGCGUUACGCAAGUGAUGUGUGUAUUUGUGUGUGUGUGUGUUUGUGUGUGUGUGUGUGUGUUUGUAUGUGAAGCCGCGAGAAUUGAAUCAGAGUGCCAAGUGG